rnacentral:lncRNA from 1 species
AAAGAAAUUACCAUUAAAAGGUUCUAAGAUCUCAUAAUAAUGCCGAUGCGAGUUCGAGAUUUAUCUCUUCUCUAUUCAUGUUUUAAUGAUGAUUCUUGUGCAUGCAUAUGCAAAUGUCAUCAAUCGUAUGGCCAAUAUCAACAGACCAUUAAACCUUCAAGUUCUAGACUUGAAGCACAUCUAUGGCCAUAUACCUUUAUGUAACAACUUGAAGUUCAGUAAUAAACUCGAAUUACUGAAAAAUUAAAAAAUCAAGGUUUCAAGCGUCAACAAAUUAAUGACCUCCCUUCCACUUGUGUUAAACUUAGCUAUCAUAAAUGCAAAAUUACACAAAAGGGAAACUAAGUAAGUCAUGCUAGGCAAUCACAUAAAAAGAAAAGCAGUACCUAAUGCUUGUCUCCAUGGCCAUGAGAAUGGUCAUCAUGGCCCUCCCAAGGGUGUCGCCAACCCUACAAGUCGAGAAACAAAGUCCACUAAAGAAUGAAAUAAGGUUACUGUGAAUAAGGCUGAUUAUGAAGACAACUGAGAGGAGAAACUUCUUACCAACACUACGGGACCAUCCUGCUAAGCCCUGUACAGGACCCAAAACCUGAAACACCAGAGAUAUUGAGAAACAUCAGAAAAUCCACCAGCAUUGCAGUAUCAUCUUUUUCAAUGUUUGCCAUGAAUAUUCUUAUUUUCAUGGCUUUUGGACCCACCAGAGCUGACAAAGUUUGAUCCUUGGUGACUAACAAUUGUGCUAACGUGGCAGUUAACAGUUUCCACAUCACCCAACAUAGAAAUUAAAAAAAAGGUGAUUAAAUAAAGAUAAUGUUGUUAUGUUCUAAUUACUAAAGUUAAUGCAUAUUACUUUUCCAUGGUAACCCAGAAAGCAAUUUAUUCCAAAAUAUAAAAUGAAAAAGUUAGAUUUUUCAGUAAUUAUGAAAUUUUGAUUAAUUAGAAAAACAUAUUGGUGGAAAUUAAAGAGUUUAACCCAGUUUCCCUAAAUAUUUUUAAUUGGAAAUACUGACAUCAUUUGUUACUAACCUAUUUAAUUAGUUCAAUGGUUUGAAAGUAUUUAAUCAAAUAUUUUGGAAUUACCAUUAAGAAAACGGAAUCGUGGUUUUGAACACAGUCAUGUUGUGCAUUUUGCCGUCACGCAUGCAUGAUAAAAAAACCGCCUUGUUGUAAUGCAAUGAAUGCCUCCUUUUCCAUUUCAUCACUUAAGUGGACAAUAAUAACAAUAAUUAAAAGUAAGAAACAAACAAUAAUAAUUUUGCAUAUAGGUUCAAACAAAAUGCAUACUUGUUGUUUAAAUUAUAGCUUAUAUGCAUACUUUGAUACAAAUAGGUUUAUAUUUUAUUAAAUAUACAAAUAGGUUCAAACAAAAUGCAUACUUGCUGUCUAAAUUGUAGCUUAUAUGCAUACUUUGAUACAAAUAGGUUUAUAUUUUAUUAAAUAUACAAAUAGGUUCAAACAAAAUGCAUACUUGCUGUUUAAAUUGUAGCUUAUAUGCAUACUUUGAUACAAAUAGGUUCAUAUUUUAUUAAAUAUACAAAUAGGUUAAAAAUUGUAGCUUAGAUGCUUACUUUGAACUCUUUAAAUGCUUACUUUUAUAAAAAAAUUAAUUUAAUCUUUUAAAACUUACAAAUAUAUAAUUUGUUAUUAAAUAUUUUUUUAAUAAAAUUCAUACUAACUUUUGAAAUAAUUUUAAGCUACAAUCAAUUAUCUUUAAAAUUACCUUGUAUAAAAAAUUUUUGAAAUAAUUUUAAAAGGAUAUCAUGGUCUACAAAUGAAAACUAGAUAAAAUAGUUUAACUUUGAAAGUUCGUUACCGUUAUGUAGAGGAAAACGCAAACAAAAUUAAAAUGCAAACAAAAAAUGAAUAGGAAUUGAAAUAUUGAAUGGAACAAAAACAUUUAUUAGAUUUCAAAUUUAUAUAUAAACCAUAGGCAAAUUAUUACAUAUGUACCAAUUGAGAUAUUCAUACUUAUUCUAUAAGCUAAAUUACAUAUGUACCAAAAAAGAAAUUAAUGAAAUCUAUUACAGUGAAUAAAAAUCUAUUAGCAGUAAAAAAUCUAUUACAGUAAAAAACCUAUGAGGACCGAAACCUCAUAUACCAAUACAUCUAGCAGUAAAAAAUCUAUUACAGUGAAUAAAAAUGAACAUGUGCCAAUAAAAGCAUCAGGCAACCAUAAAGAGAAAAGCAGAAAUGAACAAAUUAACCUAAAUUGCUUAUUAGAAGAGAAAUAAAAGUCAAAUUGAUAAACACCUUAGCCAAUUGUUGAGUCUGGAAUCUGGAUGAUAUUUAUGCACCUCUGAAAUACAGGCUGUACAAAUUGAGUGAAUCUGGUACCUAAUGCCUGAAAAAGUAAAAUACAUUAAUCCUAAUGUUUACUAAAAUCAUGUACUGCAGAUUAAAAAACCAUGCGGAUUGGACUGGCUCCAAAACUAAUAAGAACUAGUAGUUUGUACACACUCCCAUUUUCCAAGUUAUUGCACAGAAGAAGAAAAAGGCAAAAAUCAUUAAGCCAAAAACAACACUCUGAAGAGACUUCAGAUCUCAGUGGAUAAAUAAAAGUAAAACCAGCAACAGGUGUACCGUGUACGUAACAGAACAUACAUUUCUUUUUGAGAUUCACACCUCCAAACCACACAACAAAAAGUUUACCCGGAGGAAAGCUUUUUUGCAAUUUUAUUAAACUUAUCACGUUGAAAUAUCUUUCACUUAUAGAGCUGUUCUCUUUUAUUUGCAGUACGCAUUAAAACUCCUAUCAAAGGAUAAAACAGUUUAGGUCCAAUUUAGUUACAGCCAACUCUAUAGCAGCUUGAAGUCUCUUUCCAAAAUACUGCUAGAUGUAUUCCCUAUUCAAUUACUUGCUGACCUCAGAGUAAAAUAAUAAACAUGAAACUAAAUACAAACCAAUACAUGCAAAUUAGCUCAUAGGACCGAAACCUCAUAUACCAUAUCAGACCAUAGCAAAUUACUUUGAGGACCAAAACAACAAGGUUAAUGAGGACAAUAUAGUUCCAUAACUGGAGAGGAAAAAAAACAACCAUUUAGUCCAAACGUUCAAUCAACUCAAACAAUUUGGCCUUGGGCUUUUGUAAAAAAAAAAGAUUUAAUGAGUGUUGAGACGCGUUUCACAUCUGUGGAAUGGAGUGGGACUGAAUGUGGCUGGCCAUCUAAUCUAAAGUUCCUAGCCCCACGCAAUGGGGCGUUGAGUUUGAUUAUCCUUUUCAUCUAAUCUGUUGACUAAACAGCAAUCAAUUUCCUUACAGACCCCUUCUUCAUCAUUUCAAUGUUUCACCCAGUUUUCUUAUGGGCUUUUUUAAUUUUAAAAAAAGUUUCAUACUUCUAAUUAAAGUGUUCAUAGGCUCUUCUUUUAAAAGAGCAAGUCUAACAGACAUCCAUCAAAAUUGGAAGUUGGUAUCGAAAUAUCAGGAUUACCAAUAAGUGGAGACAAAUUCUAUUCCUAGGUUUUUUGCAUCUUCUAAGGCAUUGCAAAAAAAAAAAAAAAAGAAAGAACAAUUGAUGAGACAUCAUUAUGUUCGGACCAUCAAGCAAAGCAACUAUUACGCAUGGCAAUGGCAUCAAUGAACCCUGAAACGUCAUUUUAGAUCUCAAAACACAAAAAGGCGUCUAUUAUAUUUCAGGGUAGCAUUUUUUAUGUAACACAGAAAAAUGAAGAAACAAGAAAAGAAAUGACAAACAAAGAAGAUUCAGCAGGCAAACAAAGAAAAGAGUAACCUGAAGAAGAAUAAUCAGAAGAAAUGAAGUAUCUUAAAGAGAAUGAAAAUGAGGAAAUCGAAGAAGAUGAGCAAACCCGUACCUGUACCAAACUCCCUUGUAUGCUUGCUUCUACUUGGCGAUUCGGGAAGAAACAAACCCUUAAACGCUUGAUUCUGGAAGUGGGUGGAGGACCGGAGGUGGAUCGGUGAAGGUCUUGACGGUGGAGGUGGAUCGGCAGUCAAGGAAGUCAAGGCACGAUAAGUUUAGGGAUUUGGAAUUGGAAGACAGACGGUGGAUUGGGAAAUGAAAACUAAAGCUCAGUUUGUUUGCUAGUAAAAUAUUUUCCGUAAAAUAAUUUUUGAAAAAUAUUUUACUUUUCUGUAAAAUAAUUUACUAGAAAAUAUUUUUUGGUGUUUGGAUAAAUCUGUGUAAAAUAUUUUCUGCUAUUUGUCAGAUUUCCUGAAAAUAUUUUUCGAAAUUUUUUUUUUUACCUAUAUUAAUAUAUAUUAAUAAAUUUUUAUAUUUGAAAUUAUUUUUACAUAUAUUAUAAUAAUUUAUUUAUAAUAAUACUCAAUUUUUAUUAUCCACGUAUAGAAAUCUCUAUGCUUGUAUUGUGGAAACCUUUCAAACCAGUUAACCAGAAAAACAUAUGCAUCUUCAGCUGUAAAUUGAGCAAGGGAACAUAUGAACCAAGUCCCUCAAAAACUUAGGCAAAACUAACUACAUCUAUGUGACUUGUUCUGAAUAUGCAUUAACAAACAGACCAAAGAUCUGAAUCUGCCAAAGUAUCCGAAUUUAGCAAGUCAAAAAAUUGUAAAAAGUAAAGUAGCUAAUCAAUUCGUAUAUCAGAAUUUGUCAUCCCCAAAAACAAAAUGGAUACAAAAAAAGGAUUCAAUAUCCUAUCAACAAAAAUAAAGCGGAUUCAAAUAUUACUCAGAGUCCAAAAUUUAAUACCAACAACUUGAAUAACACAAGCCAUUUUACAACUUCAUUACAACUUCAAAAUUUCGCAGAAAUGUAUAAAUGGCAUGGCUGCAUCAAGAAAAUCAAAAUUUAUCACUAAAAAGAAGAGAUGGGGGAAUCUUUGACUCUUGAGGCUCCUUGCAAAUUGCUUUCUGCAAAAUAAACACACAUUCCAAAAGGAUUUUUAAAUUAUAGUAAUCAAGAUAAAAAGAUCAUAACAUAAACAUCUAGAAUAUACAAACAGAAGAUUUGAAAGCUAAAAUGUUCAACAUAGAACUAAAAAAAAUAAACUAGAGCUAGAUGGUUAGCAUUAAAAGCUCACUAGAGACCAAAAUGAUGAAACCAGUUCCACAAUAUUUGCAGUCUAAAAAAGAAAACUGUUAGGCACCUUAUCGUUAAGCAUCUGGUCAAAAUUAAGUGUAUAAUUAGUCAAUCUGUUGUUCUUCAAGUCAGCAUACCUGCAAUCAGGUUUAAUGAAUAUUAAAAAGAAAACAAAAUAGUAAAAGAACUACUGAGAAGAUCAUAGCAAUACUAAUUAGAUUACAUAAAUAACUUGAUAUAAUAAUAAGUAGCUUACUUUACAGCACCAUAACCAACUGCAUCAGCAGUACUCUCAAUCUCCUCCUCGGUCCAUUCUUCACCCUUACCUGAUUCGCACACAAAGUAACAAUUUCAGAUACAAGAGGUUGAAAAGUUCAAAGGCUACACAAUUUAACAACUGUAAGGACUUGCAGUAACAAAUACAUCACUAAUAGACUGACAAACAUAAGGUAGUUGAAAAGAGUUGAAAAACAUUUGUAACAACAGAGAUAAGGUUCAAUAUCAUACCAUGCUCGAUAAGUGCUGCUUUACUUCGGUUCUUGGCUUCAUCAAGUAGAUCAACUAAACGAACUACUUCAGUGUUACGGGUUCGAAAACGCUUGCCAUCUUCUCCAAGAACAAGUCCAAAACCAACAUGGCUAGCUUUGGGAUAAUUAUCACCUUGAGGAAGCCACCCUGCACGUUUAGCAGCCUGAAAAAUAACCAAAAUAGUUUCAGAAUAUACAGCAAAAGACUAGAUGUCAAAAGUCGGAAUAACUCUUUAAUAUAUGUAUGUUUUAAUAUAUGGUAUCGUUCGACUAAAUAAUUAAUAUAUGGAGCUAGCCUUAUUGAUACUAACCUCUUAGCAAUGAAGCAAAGCAACAUCUUGUAACACGAUUCAAGUAAGCAACAACAAAUUGGGGUUUGAACUAAUCAAAAACAGAGCAGCUUUAAAUUAAAGACAACCACAAUAUGGAAAGCAUCAAAUUUUUUAAAGGAGAUGGAAACAAAAAUUGAAGGCACCACAAUGGCUUUCAAGGAGCAUGGCAGCGGCUUAUGGAGACGCUGAAAAACGUCAAUGGGGUAGACAUGCUGAAAAACGUAACAGAACCUGGGCUAAAACUAGUAAUGAGACGUAUCAAAUUCACCAACGAACUAGCAAGAAAAAUGUAAUGCAGAAUGGAGAUUAGUUCAAGACAUUUUAAAGUAAUCGUAAAGAGAACGUUCCCAAUUUAUCAUCAAAUUUGUAUAAUUAAAACUGGAUGAGAUAAAUUAUGGAUCUAAGAAAGAUCGAAGGGCAGAAUUGAUAUUUUAGGGUUUCAGAUUAAGAGAAAAAUGACUUACAAGUUAGGUGCAGAUCGAUAAGAUAAUGAAUCUGUGAAGACGAGAUUGUUCACAAAGAGAACACCAACAACAACACCGCCACGCCAAGAGAAAUCCACCAAAGAAAUUUAGAGAUAGAGCGAGCGAAAGAGAACCCAAGCAAGUCUGUGAAGAAAGUUAGCCCAAGAUAAGCCAAACACCACAGCCAAACUAGCAGAAAACCCAAACAAGGUCUCAGAGAAAAACAAGCAGAAAAUCCCCAAAUCAAUUUAUAAAAAGAAGAAGAAAUCAAGGGGGGAAAAGGAGCCCGAAACCAAAUCAAGGGAGAACGAAAGGGAGAACGAAAGGGAGAAGGGAGAACGAACGUGAGAACGAAACCAGAUCGGUGUAGAGAGGAGAAGGGAGAACGAGAGUGUAGAGAAGGGAGAACGCUGGAAAAAUCGAAAAAUGUCUUACUGAUUCCAAAUCGGUAAGACGUUUAACAUAAAUUGGGGCCCUUUUUAGCCGUCUUUGUAAAACAUUUUCCUUUUAGGAUUUCAUUUUACACCAACCAAACACCGGAAAAGGUGGAAAAUAUUUUCCGAAAAAUAUUUUCUACCAAACAAACGGACCCUAAAACUAAAAACUUAAAUAUAAAUAUAUAUAUUUUUUAAACAUAAAAAACUUAAACUAUUAUAUUUAAAAAAUAAAAAAAUAUAUAUUUAAUAUAUUUUCAGGCCGGGCCGGGCCCGGGUCCAAAAAAUUUUACUCGAGGCCUGGCUCGUUUUUUAAACGGGCCUAAAUUUUUGCCCAAGCCCAUAUUUCGGGCCUAUAUUUUUACCCGAAUCCUCCCAUAUUUCGGGCGGGCCGUCGGGCCGGGCCGGGCCGCCCGGCCCAUGGACAGGUCUAAAUUAUUGCCCACUUAUGAGAUGGGAAAGAAGGCACGAGGUAGCAGAUUUUUAUUCCCAAGAGAAAACGCUUAAUGCUUAAUUUGGUUUUUAAACUAUUUAAAAUAUCGAAUGACUUAAUUGUAUUAAACAGAUUAUUUAAGUGUUAGAAUUGUAUUAAUUGAAUGAGAUAUUACUAUCUAGAUCAAGAAAUGCAAUCGAGAAAAAAUAAAAAGUAUCGAAUUAAUCAUCGACUUUAUUUUUGUAACCGUUUUAGUCGAGGUAAGUUCGUAUUUCAUUUUAAAACAUUACAUUUGAAUUUAUAAAAUUAAUUUGAUAUCUUUAUAUAAGUAUUUAUAUAUUGAUGAUAAGAUUGUUUUGAUUUGAAAAAAAAGGAAAGAACUGCGAUUGAAAUACAUCAUGGUAUUAUACUCAAAAAGGAAAAGACUAUGAUUGAAAGACACCAUGGCAUUACAUCUGGUAUUUCCGAAUCUAUGAAAAGGUUGUAAGGGAAGUCAUCAGAAAAGGAUGUAUUCGAAAAAGAUAUCUGUAAUACCCCGAAAAUUACUAUAGUAAGAAAGUAAGAUAAUAUCCUUGAUAUAGUAAAAUAAGGAAAUAAAGUGAUAAAAAGGGUAAUAUUGAGUUAUGUCAACAUUGGGAAGUAUAUUAUGACAUAUUAAUUCAAGAAAGGAUUAAAUUGUAAAAGUGAAAAAAGUUUUGUUGCCCAAGAGUAAAUACUCAAAAUUUGAGGGGUUAAAGUGUAAAUACAAAAAAUUUGAAGGGCCAAUAGUGUAAAUAUUUUAAGGGUGGAAUAAUCUAGAAACUAAGGAAAAUGGAUGAAUUAGGACCAAAUUGAAAAGGUGAAGAAUUUUGAGGGAUUAAAUUACAAUUUUAUCAAAUUAACUGAUGACUCAAGGAUAGAAUUUCAAAAGAUUAUAAAGGGCAAAAUGGUCAAAUAGAGAGCGAGAGAAUUCUAGAAUGUAAUGAUGAUGUUUGUGAUAUUUUUAAUUAAUUAAUUAGAUAAAUGUUAUUUAAUUAAUAUUUUAUUAAGAUUUUUAGUAUUAUUUUAUUAUUAAAUGAUUAAUAUAAAAGGGAGGAAAGAGAUGAAAAAUUAUCAUCUUUCCAUACAAACAACGUUAGAAGAGAAGAGAACAAAGAAAGUUUUGCUUUCUUUACAAUUUGGUCCUUUCACCAAAAAUUCACUAUUUUCACCUAAAAAUCAAAAGAAUUUCCAUAGCUUCCAAGAGAGAAAAAUAAUAAGAAGACAACGGGGAGCUAGAAUGUCAAGUUAGAUUCAAGAAAUAGAAGCUGGAGGAGAGAGAAAAUCAAGUUAAAGAUUGAAAUCAAUAGCACAAGAUAAGAACAUCAAUAUUUCAAUAUAUUUUUAAGUUUGUUAUUGUUGAAAAAGCAUGGAAAUGAUGUUAUAGUAGAGUUUUAUUAAAUAAAGUCUUAUGUUCUUGAUAUAUUAGUGAAGGAAAAUAAGUGAAAAUGAUGGGAAAUAUUAUAGAGAAAGGGAAUUCGGGAGUUAUAAACUUAGUAAUCAACAUCUUGCACUAAAACAGUUUUGGACAGCAGCAGUAAGUUAACUUUGAAAAAUCACCAUAAACUGUGGAAAUGUAAUUAGAGGAUUAAAAAAAUAUAGAAUUAAAGCUUAUUAAGUCUAGUUUCUCAUAGAAGAAACGGUGUAAGUAAUAGAAUUGUAAAUCAUGAGAUAUAAUAAAUUUUGUGAGACAAGGUCAGAAUGAAUUUGGGUUCCCCUAUUUUUAGUGAAUAAAAAUAUGGAAAAUCAUCAAAAAUUGAAUAAAAAUAAUUAGAGACUUAAAUUUAUAUUUUUAAAAUCCUGAAUGAGUCUAUUUUCAAUAGAAACAAACAGAAACAUCAUCCAAAUUCUUUACAAAGAGAUAAUUAUUUUUUAGUGAAGAGGGGUCGGAACUGUCAAAUAGUGAAAUAGGGGAAACUUUAAAAAAUAAACUGUACUUAUUGGCUAAACCAAAAAUUUUGAAAAUCUUAUGGUAAGAAGAUAUGUAAGUCUAGUUUCAUAUGAAUUUAGCGGAUAUUAAUUUUUAGUUCUGUAUCUCAAAAUAUAAAUAAUUUAGUGACUAUAACUCAAGUGGACAACUUUGAAUUAAUGUAUAAAUAAAUGGUGGAAUUAUAGAUAAUGUUACAUAUAAGCAUAUUAUACAUUAAGGAUGUGGAAUGGAGAGGAGGAGGGGGAGAAUAAAUUAUUAUUCAACUAGCAUGAAUUCUCAUUAAAAAUGACCAAUUUGCAUGUUUUAGGUUCAAUGACUAAAUUGAAUAAAAGUAAUAUUUUAAGGGUAAAUUGGUAAAAAUGUCAAAAAGUGACCAAAUUGCAUGAAAUGAAUUUUUUUAUUAUUUAAAUUAAUAAAUUGAAUGAAAUAUUAAUUUAUAUUAAGAUUGGGUGGAAAUUCGAGGAAAAUAGAAAAUUACCAAAAUGUCCUUAAAUUUUGGUAUUUCUGCAAUUUAGCUUGGUAAGUUCGCGUAACUUGAAUUGUAUUAUUAGAUGAUUGAAAUAUAUAUAUUGGAUUGAGAAAUUGAUUUGAAUUGUGAACAUGAGAAAUUGUGAAUUGAAUGAAAUGGAAAUGAAGCUUUGAAUUACAUGAGUAAAUAUCGGGUCUCGUAGGCUCUAUUUGUUAUGAAUAUAAUAUUUCGAGGAUAUGUUGUAAAGAAUUAUAAAAGCACGUUAAUAAUUUAAAAGUUUUAAUUUGGAUGAAAUUUUGUAACUCGGUUUAAUAAGUAUGCAAAUGUAUGUCUUCUAGUAAUGUCUCGUACCCUAUUCCGGCGUCGAAUACGGGUUAGGUGUGUUACAAUAAGAGUUUUUAUGCUAUGUACCAAUGCGAUGUGGUUUAAGUUUACAUGCCUAUAUGCCUUGAUGUUGGCUUAUAAUCAUAUAUAUGUAAGUAUGUGUUUUGGUUACUUGUGAAUGCUUUGAGAGUUAAAUGGUUAUUGGUUCAUUGAAGUGUGAAUGAAAUGGUUGAACAGCAUGCUUUUAAACAGUUAUUUGGUAUAUAUGAUUUAUGCUUAAUGAAUGAACUUGAAAUGUUAAUUUGAGUCAAGUUGAUGUGUUAAAUUGUGGUGUCAACUGAACGUAUAUUGGCUAGGCACCUAAGUUGGUUGAUUUUGGUAUGUUUUUGGUAUGUUGUAAACUGUUUUGGUCAUGUGAAAAUGAUUGGAAAUGGUAUGGUUUGUUGUGCAAGAAAAGGUUAAUGUUCUGGCUUGUUUUAGGGGAAAAUUAUGUUGCACACGGCCUGAGACACGGGAUGUUACACGACCGUGUGCACACAUGGUCGUAUGUUUCAAGUCAGUAUGCUACACGGUCUGAGACACGGUCGUGUGACUCAACAUCAAAUGCACACACGAUCUGACAUACGGCCUACGACACGACCAUGUGACCCUAUUUCAAAUACCCACACGGGUGGACGCACAGUCUGGGCUAUGUCACAUAGCCUGGCCACACAGCCAUGUGACCCCUAUUUUCCUGUUUUCAAGAUUUUUCCAAAAUUUUCUGUUUUGUUUCAAAGUGAUCUCUGAUUAUUCUAAAAUUAUUUUUAGGACCCCGAAAGCUUGGUUUAGGGCCCCCGUAAGAGUAUUUUUACUAUGAUUAUGUUAAGUUGCAUAACCGUUUCUAUUUGAAAGAUAAAUGUGCUGAUUUGUACGGUAAUGCUUCAUGACUCUAAUCCGACGAUAGAGACGGGUUAACGGUGUUACAAAAAUAAUAUAUAUACUUUUGAGUAGAUCGGAUAUGAAUGCUCAAUCAACUCGAGAGUGAAUGUAUGAAUCAUCCAUAACUCUUUUAAAUCAGUGGGAUUUUAAAUUGAAUUUUAAAAUUUAUGUUUCAAAAAUUAGGGUUUAAAUUUUGAUUUAAAUAAAAUUAGUUCAAUUGUUGAUUCAACCACUUCGUAUCGAUUUAUAGAUCAAUUGAUUCAAUUCUCUCUCUAGACCGAUACCUCAACUAGUUCUUCACUCAAUCUAUAAGUUCCAAUUAUGAAAUCAAUGUGUAAAUUUGGAUUCAUCAAAAUGUUUGAGGCUCAAUUUAAGCCUAUUUAGGUAAAUAUUUGAAUAUAUAACUAUAAUUUGAAUGAAUCAGUACUAUUAGAAUUAGACUAAUAAUCGAAAUAUAUUCAGAUCUAAAUUAGAAUAAUUCAAUGAAAGAACUCGCACAUAAUAUUUGUAUUCCUCUUUAUAUUUACACAUAUUGAAACUCGAAUUUAACUUCUCAUAAUCUCAAUUGUAUUAUUUCGACCAAGACCCACAAUUAUUAUUAGUUAUUAUUAGACAUCAUAUAUAAUAUAAAUUCAUAAUAUAUGAAAAGAAUUCCUGGUGGCUGCCAAAGAUUCCACAAGUAUCUAUAAUACAUACAUCCAAAGGUUUGUAGGGAUGAAAAAGCUUCCAAAACAGAAAAAGAAACAAUAGCGUGAUUCCUUUUGCUUGGUAUAUAUAUGCCUAGUGUUUUAUUAUUUCUUAAUCAUUCUUUUAUCAACUACAUGCAGUGAAGUUAAGAACUUUACGUGCCCCCUUAAGGGCUAACAUUCCCCUUCGAUUGCUACAGUUCAAACUUCGAGCUCAAGGACCUGAGGAGGAGGAGGAGGAGCUUGUGCUGGGUUUUCAUGGACGUUAUUCUGCGUAGUGUAGAUAACGAUGGUGGGAAUGGAUUGAAUUGUGAGAGAAAAGUAUCGAAUAAAGCGUAUAAAUUGAUGGAACAGUCGGUUGUGCCAAGGAACUGUGAGAAUGAUGAAUAAAUAGGUAACCCAGAAGCUUGAAGGGGGAAAAAAGAUGGAGGCAAGGAGUGAAAUGAACAAGGCAAUGGAGAUACCUCGAGCUUUCAAGCUAAUAGGAUGGGGAGUGAGAGGGAAUUCAACAGAGAAGAAGAGGAAGAUUACCAUUAAUAUAAUGGCAACAAACAAGGCUAAGAUCCCAAGCAUCAUGGUUGAAACCUGUUGGCCAAUGAGGGCACCAGCAAGUAGAUCAAAUGAAGGUUCAUUUUGGGAUGCUACAAAUAGAAAAAACCAUAUCAGAUUCAGCAGUGGAGGGAAUGUAUACCUCAAAUCAAUCAGGACCUGCAUUUUUUUUAAUGUACUUUUGCUUUUGAGGAAGUAGAGGGGGAAUGGGACGCACUUACAUAAAUGGUAGUAAAAGAAAAAAAGUUAAGAUUGAAAAUGGCAUUGCCGAAAAGGAGGAAAAAAUGGUAAAGACAAAAAGAAGAAAAAGACGAGGAAAUUCUGAGUCAGAAAAGCCAUGGCAAGGUUGAAAAAGUAACGAAAUAAAUUAAGAGAUUCAAAAUCCAAAACAGUGACAUCAGUCAAUAAAUCAACGGUAAUGGAAGCCCUUUGCCCCAAAACCCUUGGCUUUGUAUGUUGAGUUGGUGGUACAUGCAGGCAUACAGGAGAUCAUUAUCAUUGGGGAUGACCUUUCAUACGUGUGACAAGUGACAAAAACUUCGCAAGUCAAAGUCUAUCACUCGCAAAUUAUUAUUUAUAUAAUUAAAGCAUUUAGGGUUCCAACUUGACUUAUCUCAAAUUACAAAUAUUAUUAUUACAUAUUUACUAUUUAUUUGAAUAAAAUAAUAAUGAUUUCACAAACAGCUUUUGUUUUGAAAGGUAAAUUAAUUCGUUUGAUGUACAUAACAUACAAUUCAGAGAAAAAAAUAAUAAACAUUUAUCGUAAAUGGUGAAGACAAACUCCAACAACAUAACAAAUAUUUUAGCUUCAGCAUCAAUAGAACAUUAUGACACGUUGACAAUUGGCUUUGCCAUAACUCAAGCACGACAUAUCUGAAGUGAUUGCAAACACUUAAUACGAUAAGGAAAUCAGGCCCGGAUGGUCCAAAACGUUGAGCAAAAAUUGACAAAAGAAUCAAGCAUUCAUGAAACUAGAGAGGACGACAAUAAAAUUAUCCCUAAAAUCACUUGUAAAACUACUAUUACGUGCAUAAGCAAGACUAAAAAACGUGCUACAAGAGCAGAUAAAAACUUGAAGACUUAUUAAACAAUGGAAAAACAAACAAAAAACAUAUAAAAUUUAAGACAACACGGGUCUAAAUCGACACAUGAAAUAAUUUAUUUUUCUAAAAUACUCUCAAAACAAAAACAGAUUAAGAAGUUGACGAAAAGUCACUGACUUUUCAAGAAAAACUACUGGUGGCCGGUGGAGUUUUAGCGAAAGACAGGUACCGUCACUUGUCCAUCACAACUUGUGAAGACAACAAAGAUACCCACAAAAUAGAUCUGCAAAUUGAAAAGAUAGAAGACAUGUGUAGUGAAUAAAAAGAAUAAAGAAAGAAAAGUUGAUGGGAGAAGAAAAAGGCAGGUGAUAACCAGCCCGAAGGCUAGCACCACUGUUGAGCAAAACAAAAUAUAGAAAAUAAAUAUCUUGGAGAAAAAAAGAAAAAAGUUUUUAGAAUUUUUCUUACGACACAAACAACUUUUUAAUUAACCACAAAUUUUUUUAAAGUAAUUGAUUAAAUAAGGUGUUACAUAUACAUGGCCUACCAUUAGAGACACCUUCGCUAUCUAUCAGCUCCACCAUUUGGUCAUGAAUGCAAGUGAUCUUCUCUUUCACCAUGAGGACUAUUCCACCGGGCUAUAAGGAAUAUGCAAGCCAAUCACUUCUAACAAUUUGACUAUCUUGACAAAAUAUUUAUAAUUUGUCACUAACAUACCGUGCAACUUGAUCACCUCAUGUCACAUUAUCGACCCAACAAAAGAGCCUAUAAGCAAUGGGUCAACCUAUUAGAAAACAACACAUGUUCUACAACGUAAACUCAUAUAUCUCUCCUUCAACCAAAAUCUUCUCUCUUCCUCCUCCAUCCUAUGUCAAAAUCAAACAUUUCUUUUCAAUUCCUCCAUCUUCACCUUGUGUCUUUUUGUUCUCAUUGGGUGAACCGCCUCAACAUAUGAAAGAAUCUUUAAAAUUGAUUAAUAAAUUAUUCAUAUUACAUAGAUAAUUAGACCUGAUUAUGGGUUGAGUUAUCUACCCAAUCCUGAAGUUCGUCGGAAAAGUAAAAAAAUUUGGACAAAAAUAUAGACCCAAAAAAUAAGCUUUGACAAAAAUAAGGCCCAUUUUUUAAAUGGGUCGAGCCUUGGGUAAAAAAAAAUUUGGUUUGGACUCGGUCCGAAUCAGCCUAAAUUUUUUUUUAUACUGUUGCUUGCUGCUAUUUUGAUAUUAUAUUGAUAUUGUUUUAUUGUUAUUGUUUGAAUUUUUGUGUAACUCUUGUUUUGUUUUUAUUUUUACUACUAUUUUAGAUGCAUUUGUUUGUUAAGUUACAACUAUCUUAAUGUUAUUUAAGUAUAAAUAUCUUUUUUAAUUUAUUUUCAAUUUGUUGAGAAAUAUUUGUUUUUAUGUUUUUAAUGUAUUUGAUGUAUUAUAUUUUUAAAAUUUGUUUUUAUAUAAAAAAAUUAAUACAGGUGGGUCGGGUCAGACUAUGGUUUAACAUUCUUAAUCUAGGUUGGACUUGGACAAAAUUUUAAGCCUAUUAUUCAAGAUGAGUCAAACCCAGACCUAAAAUUUUGCACCGACUGGUUCAACCCAUGAUAAGUGUAUAGAUUAUUUAUUAGAAAUAUAAGAAUGUGAGGAUAUUCAUACCUUUGUUUAAUAUAAGUCCUACCGAAAGCAUUUAUUUAGUACAUUAAUGAGAUAUCACACUAUAUAAUUUAUAAUUGUUAAUUUAUUAAAUAAUAAAUCUUUAAUAAACCUAGAUUUGUGGCAUUUAAAAAUGAAAAGGUUAUGAUGUUAAGUCCUAUGCUGAUAUCAAGGUUCACUUCAUGAUGUAUGUAUGUAUACCUAAAUUUAUUAUCAUAUAGGAAAAGCUUAGAUGAGGGAUUAGAGAUACGAGGGGAUGAGAAAUCUUGGCCGGCCAACCAUUUACUAAAAAAAAAAACUAUUUCUUUUUUUAUGCGAAAUAAAGUAACAUAUUUAUUUUCAUUAGUAAAUUUCCUAUAUGACUAUAGAAAUGUCUCCACUUUCCAUUGAAAUGAGAGGUGACCAAAGAGACGCGACCAUUAUGAGCUCAUGGAAAGAAAAUGACAAAACUAGUAAUAUAUAUUAUGGUAAAGUCGAGAGAAAUUAGAAGAUUUUUAAAUUUUGGGUUUAAAUUUCUUGGUGCGCAUGUAUUUUUUUUUAAAAUUGUAUGUAAAAAAUAAAAAUAUCCUUAAAAUUAUAUUUAUUAUUUUAUAAAAAUAUUGAAUUUUUGGUAACUUCGAAUGGAUUGUUAAAAAUUAAAUUUUACUGGAUCACUUCCUUACAUAUAUAUAUAUAUAUAUGAGAGAAUUUAAUCAAAUGUUGAUUAAUGUAUAUCUUUAAUUUGUGGUGAUUUGAAGAUAUACCUUAUAUUAUCGAAUAUGUGAUGGUUAGAAUAUUUUGAUUUUUUUAAAAUUAGGCAUUUCUGAUUCUUUUUAUAAAAAAGUUAAAGAUUUUUUGAUUUUUUAUGUUUUUAUUUUGAAGAGCUUUUUUUGACGUAUAAAACUAAAUAGUAUCGCAAUAACAAUCAAAGAUUGAGGAUUAGUUUGCUUCAACUAAAAAGUAAUCGUCCAAUUAAAUUUAUUAUUAUACCUUAUAAAUCAAACACUAAAAUAAAUAUUUUAUUUUAUUUUAAUAAUUGAAAAUAAUCCAUCAAUAGAAUCUGGGAUGGGAUAUGUUAGAAUAUCAUACAAAUGGGAUGAGAUUUCUUACGUCUUAAGUUUCCAAUUUAAUUACGUCCAAGUUUUUAAGAAUAAUACAAAGAUAUGGCCCAUCAACUAAACAAUAAAUAAAUUAUUAUAAACAGAUUAAUAGUAACUGCAACUUUAAAAUAAUUCAGAGAUGCAUCAACUUGAUUAAUCUGUGUUAAAAUUUGUAUCUUAGCCCCACUAUCAUCAGAUCAACAUGAUGAUGAAUAUCGAUUGACCAAUCAACAAUUGUCAAAAUCCCCAAGAAACCCACCGUAUUAGUGAUGCUAAAAGACCUAGUUUGAGAUUACCUAUCUUCCCCCUCAUUAUAUUGGAUCGAUCAUGAUAAAGCCUUUCGAGAAGUAGAUUUGGCAGCACCAUUAUUCAUAAAUCUCAUAUAUAUAUAUAUAUAACACUACAACAUGACUAGAAACAAAAACUAAAAAUAAACUUUAUCUUCUUUUAAAGAAAACAAAAAUCAUGAAAAAUAUGGACAAAAUAAAAUUACAAUAAUUAGCCUUAGCUUUAUAGAACUGCUGUAAGGGCAUAAAGAUGCCGAGAAGAAAAGUUUAUUCACAUUCAACUAAUAGUUUUUAUUAUUUUUGUUUAGCAUACAUGAUAUGAAUAGUUUAUAAUAGAAGCAGUUGAAGAUGCAGAGGGAAGAGUCUUGGAAGAAGAUCCAUGGAUUUUAUCAAAAAGCCUUUUAGGUGAUCUAUCGUUCUACAAAUCUUCAGCAUAUCGUAUGGUAAUAUAAUUAUCUUGGUCAGUAUAGAUCAUGAGUAUUAGUAUAGACGAUGCAUGCUUAAUGGUUAGUCUCUUUCAAACCUUGAGGUGUCAUGAAAACAAGAGACAGAGAUUUCUAAGAGUUGUACAUAUACACAAUAUUGCAGAUAUAUAAUUUAUGGAUUUUUGCCAUAUAUGUAAGAAUACCAGUUCUUCAAAUUUGAUGGUACUGGUGUUUACUCAAGUAAAAUUAAUACUUUGUCCACUCUUCUUCUUCUUACUGUAAUGCUUUUAGUUUUCAUAAUAGAUUUAAAUUUUCAUGUCAUACAAUAUAAUACGUACUAACUUUGUCAUAAGGAUGUUGGCUUUUAUACGUUAACUACUCAUUUUAGACAUAUGUUAGCUUUUAUUUUAAAUAAUUUAUCAAAUGUGGUAUACUAAAAGCACAAAAAUCUAAUUUUAGUGAAGUCAACUAUAUAAAAUUAUUAAUUUAGAAACCAACAUCGACAAUAAAAAUUUUAGUCACACUGUUGUAGAAAUUAAUAGUGAAGGAGUGGAGUGCUAAACACCUGUAUGAGGACACAUAUUCAAGGUAGUUAUUAGUGGGGUAUUAUUUUUCUAGAUUGGUAUUAAUUUGUUUUGAUGUAUUUAAGAUUUAUCACCAUUUUUAAAAAAAUAUCAAAUAGUUAGAUUAAACAAUAUCUUUUAGGGUAGAUUACAUCAUUAAUCACUUAACUAUUAGUGUGAUUCUGUUUAGUCUCUAAACUAUAAAAAUAUUCAAAUUUAUUACUAAUGCUUUCGACCAGUUCUGUUCUGAUCACCUUCUAUUAAACCAUUAAUGAAAUUUGUAAUAUUCAUAUACACAAACCGAUCACCGGAUUCAUGUAUUGAAAUGUUACUUUCGAUGCCAAAACAACUAUAUUAAAAUCUAGAUUAUUUAACAAUUUUAUUAUUAACGUACCUUUUAUGACACUUUUCAAAUGCAUAACUAAACCUAAAACGAACUCUAAAUAAUUCUAUUAUUAGUUAAUAAACAAAUAGAGACCUAAUUGCAAAUUUCGCAAAAUUUCCAGCCCGACGUAUAGCAGAUAGGAGGUCAUUCACUUUAAAGUUCCAUAGGAGCAGGCAUUUCAUAAAAACGUAGUGAUCAGAUUUGGUGCGUGAGCCUAAUUAUGCGUUGGGUAUGUUCCGCUUCUUAUUCUACAGUUCUUAGGAAUAGUUUAACAAUACUUUUAAAAAGUGUUAUGGAAAAAUGCUUUUAAGAAAUAUUUUUAAAAAAUUUGGUUUAAGAUUUGAGUGUUUAGCAUUACUGUCAAAAAAUACUUUUGAGAAAUAAAAUAUUCAUUUUAGACAUGUUAUUAUCAAGUAAGAAAUAUGCAUCUAAAUAAUAUUCAAAUUAGUUAAUAUUAUUAUAUUUAGUAAGAAUAUAAAAAAAAUUAUUAUAACUUGUUAAUAUUUUAAUAUAUGAAAUAUAAAUUUUAAAUAUUUUUAAGUAAUAAAUAUUAAUUAUUUAUAAAAUUUAAUUAGAAUAUAUAAACUAUAUUUUAAAUAUUUAAGUAAUAAAUAUUAAUUAUUUUAGAUAUUAACACAUUUGUAUUAUUUUAAAAAAUAUUUUUAUUUUUAAUUAAUAAUUUAAACACAUUUGUAAUUAAGCACAAAGAAAAAAAAGAAUGAAAAGUAGUAUAUUAUUAGAGAGGUGAAAAAAUAAUUAAACACCAAAAGUGCUUUUGAAAAAAAAUGUUAAAAAUUUUAACUUCUUUUCAGCCAAAAACAGCUUAUUUAACACAACUUUUCUUCUAAGAGUGUUUUUGAGUCAAAAAUGUUUUUUUUAAGCCUUAUUAAACAAGCCCUUAAUGGCAAAAGUUGUGGUUCUAUUGGUCUUAGACAAUGAGAUCUUUGAACUCAUAUUUUUUUCUUUUAUUUCUGAAUAUGACUGGAAGAGAGGGCCUUUUACUGGGCAAUGGAGUGAGCAGACGUGGUCCUAGUAUUACUCACUUGUUUUACAUGGUGAGCCUCCGGUUGCUAGGGUCAUAUUUACCUCGAAAAAUAUUGGUGGGUCGUAAUAAGCAAGCCGUUUUUCAAAGAUUAAGGGAUCAGUGAAAUAACUAGACUUCUCGUUUACUCUUGCAAGGGGAAAUGAAGUGUUUAUCAAAGCUAUCCUUACCUAUAUCAUGCCAUGUUUUUUUCUUACUAAGUUCUUUAUGCAAUGCGGUUGAUUCCAUUAUUAAUAUUCGGUCAUGAUCCCAUUUCAACAGUUUUUUUUUUAAAGGGUAAUCAAACAGGCAAAUUUCUAUUAUUCUGUAGAUCAAAUAUCAAGAAAACUUCAAUUCGGCCAAAAUCUACGUUCAGCCAAACCAGAGGUGCACAAUAAACCAAAUGCAUUCGGCCAUAAAAAUCCACACUUUAACAGGAAAACCAUAAUGCAUAAAUGAAGUUUCAGUUUUCAUUUCAUUAUGCUUACAAUCCCAUUUCACCAUCACUUUAUUGACACCGAAGAAAAUAAACAGAAGACAUUCCAGAACAGCAUCUGUGCCACGCACCCAUAAGCAGAUAAGCUUCUUCAGGCUGCAGCUAAACACAAUGUCACUGAUCAUUGAAAUGGAGAACAAGUUUUGUUCAUGUCAUACUUCAUUCUUGCUAAACACACUUAUAUGCACAUCUUUUAUUGGCAACAAACACGUAAAAAGGGGCAAAAGAAAUUACCAUUACAAGGUUCUAAGAUCUCAUAAUAAUGCCGAUGCGAGUCCGAGAUUUAUCUCCUCUAUUCAUGUUUUAAUGAUGAUUCUUGUGCAUGCAUAUGCAAAUGUCAACAAUCGUAUGGCCAAUAUCAACAGACCAUUAAACCUUCAAGUUCUAGACUUGAAGCACAUCUAUGGUCAUAUACCUUUAUGUAACAACUUGAAGUUCAGUAAUAAACUCGAAUUACUGAAAAUUUAAAAAAUCAAGGUUUCAAGCAUCAACAAAUUAAUGACCUCCCUUCCACUUGUGUUAAACUUAGCUAUCAUAAAUGCAAAAUUACACAAAAGGGAAACUAGGUAAGUCAUGCUAGGCAAUCACAUAAAAAGAA